rfam:Treponema caldarium DSM 7334, complete genome.
GCCGGCGUGGUGAAAUGGCAGACACGGUAGACUCAAAAUCUACUGAUCGCGAGAUCGUAUCGGUUCAAGUCCGAUCGCCGGCA